UGUUUUGCCCGUAUCUGUUGUUCAUGUGAACCAUUGAUUGAACGUAGGAAAGCCACUAAUUUUUCCCGCACAGUCUAACAAAUCGUUAGUAAAAUGCCUGAAAGUUGUGCAGCUUAUGACUGCACCAUCCGUCGAGUCAUGGGAGGUGUUGUCUCAUUUAAUAAAUUUCCUCUCGGAAAGCAGGCUAUACUCACUUAAGUGGGUGAUGGCAAUCAGGUUGUGCAGCGAGCACUUCAAGAAGGAUGACUACAUGAGAGGUAAUCAUCCCAGAGAUGACCGAGAAAAUAUCCAACAUGGAAUCAGGAGUCUGCUGUACCCUCCAUCUUUCCAGCUUACCCACCACAUAAACAACAGAAGCAAGCAAGUAAGAGGCCUCCACCUAGAAGAAAAAUGAUGACAGCGGAUCCUGGCUCACAAUCUCCUCCAUUAAAAACUUUUAAUGUUGCAGAAGAGCACAUGUAUGCAAAGAUCAAAACAUGAUAAACCAGGGACAGUUGGAGCUGUUGAAGCUGAACUUCGUACUGAAUACUUUCACGCUGAUUGAAAAUGAGCUGAAGUAAAUGGAGAAAGACAAACAUGGUCACAUGUUCUCUGAGGAAAUCAAGCAGUUCGCGUCACACUACAUGUCUAUAGUGCCCAGGGUAUGAUUUUGUUAGACAGUAUUUACAUCUCCCACAAGACUGUCAUUAUGACAUCAUCACCUGUCGUGUGACAUCAUCUUAAAGGUGUUUUAUUUUAAAUAUUUGAAAAUCUGUAACAAAUCAGCCACAAGAGACCGUAGGUUUUUGUUUGCAGGAUUGGGUAGGGAUAAAUUAGGUCUUCAUUUUAUUUCGUGUGCGUGACCUUUCAUCUAAAAAUGGCAAAAGUUAUGAAGUGGCUUUCAACGAUGUUAGUGCCUGGCAAGGGUGAGCAGUUAAGAACAAAUGUCAAUGACGUCACAAAGUGUAACUCUAGCGACAGGUUGAAAACUCAGUGGCGAAGUUUUGUGUAAUCGCCUCAAAAUGUACACACGUUGAUUGCUGGCAGCCGUCAUUAUGUGUGAAGUUUCAAAUUGAUGACGUCACCAGAGGUCACGUGAUGUCGUUACCAGAGGUCACGAGACGUGGCAUUAAAGGUGCAUUUUUUGAAAUCGUAUAUCUCCCGAAGAAAUUAUGCGAUUAAUUGAAACUUGGUGGAAUGUUAGAUACAUGGCAAGUUCUUGUAAAUUCUCUAUUUGUGCACAAAUGACAUUGUGUGUAGUUUGUCAUUAUUAUCAUAAUUAUAA